rnacentral:rRNA from 1 species
GAUGCGUAGUACGGCGAGUGAGCGGCAAUAGCUCAAAUUUGAAAGCUGGCCUCUGGUCCGCAUUGUAAUUUGUAGAGGAUGCUUUUAGGCAGCCGCCGGUCUAAGUUCCUUGGAACAGGACGUCAUAGAGGGUGAGAAUCCCGUAUGUGACCGGCUCAGGCACCUUCUGUAAAGCUCCUUCGACGAGUCGAGUUGUUUGGGAAUGCAGCUCUAAAUGGGAGGUAAAUUUCUUCUAAAGCUAAAUACCGGCGAGAGACCGAUAGCGCACAAGUAGAGUGAUCGAAAGAUGAAAAGCACUUUGGAAAGAGAGUUAAAAAGCACGUGAAAUUGUUGAAAGGGAAGCGCUUGCAAUCAGACUUGGACUUGGCUGUUCAACCGGUCUUCUGACCGGCCCACUCAGUCUUGUCCAGGCCAGCAUCAGUUUCGGCGGCCGGAUAAAGGCCCCGGGAAUGUAGCUGCCUCUUCGGGGGCAGUGUUAUAGCCCGGGGUGUAAUACGGCCAGCCGGGACUGAGGUCCGCGCUUCGGCUAGGAUGCUGGCGUAAUGGUUGUAAGCGGCCCGUCUU